AACAGGAUUAGAUACCCUGGUAGUCCACGCCGUAAACGAUGUCGACUUGGAGGUUGUUCCCUUGAGGAGUGGCUUCCGGAGCUAACGCGUUAAGUCGACCGCCUGGGGAGUACGGCCGCAAGGUUAAAACUCAAAUGAAUUGACGGGGGCCCGCACAAGCGGUGGAGCAUGUGGUUUAAUUCGAUGCAACGCGAAGAACCUUACCUACUCUUGACAUCCACGGAAUUUGGCAGAGAUGCCUUAGUGCCUUCGGGAACCGUGAGACAGGUGCUGCAUGGCUGUCGUCAGCCCGUGUUGUGAAAUGUUGGGUUAAGUCCCGCAACGAGCGCAACCCUUAUCCUUUGUUGCCAGCGAUUCGGUCGGGAACUCAAAGGAGACUGCCGGUGAUAAACCGGAGGAAGGUGGGGAUGACGUCAAGUCAUCAUGGCCCUUACGAGUAGGGCUACACACGUGCUACAAUGGCGCAUACAAAGAGAAGCGACCUCGCGAGAGCAAGCGGACCUCAUAAAGUGCGUCGUAGUCCGGAUCGGAGUCUGCAACUCGACUCCGUGAAGUCGGAAUCGCUAGUAAUCGUGGAUCAGAAUGCCACGGUGAAUACGUUCCCGGGCCUUGUACACACCGCCCGUCACACCAUGGGAGUGGGUCGCAAAAGAAGUAGGUAGCUUAACCUCCGGGAGGGCGCUUACCACUUUGUGAUUCAUGACUGGGGUGAAGUCGUAACAAGGUAACC
rnacentral:rRNA from 1 species